rnacentral:piRNA from 2 species
UGUGUGUGUGUGUGUGUGUGUGUGUGU